AAAUUGAAGAGUUUGAUCAUGGCUCAGAUUGAACGCUGGCGGCAGGCCUAACACAUGCAAGUCGAACGGUAACAGGAAGCAGCUUGCUGCUUCGCUGACGAGUGGCGGACGGGUGAGUAAUGUCUGGGAAACUGCCUGAUGGAGGGGGAUAACUACUGGAAACGGUAGCUAAUACCGCAUAACGUCGCAAGACCAAAGAGGGGGACCUUCGGGCCUCUUGCCAUCGGAUGUGCC
rnacentral:rRNA from 1 species